GCCCCUGUAGUCUAGUGGCCAAGGAUGUCGGCCUUUCGCGCCGGAGACCCGGGUUCAAAUCCCGGCAGGGGCA
rnacentral:tRNA from 3 species